rnacentral:rRNA from 1 species
UACGGAGGGUGCGAGCGUUGUCCGGAAUCACUGGGCGUAAAGGGCGCGUAGGCGGCGCGGGAAGUCAUCGGUGAAAGCUCAGGGCUCAACUCUGAGUCGGCCGGUGAUACUCUCGUGCUUGAGCACUGUAGAGGCAGGUGGAAUUCCGGGUGUAGCGGUGGAAUGCGUAGAGAUCCGGAAGAACACCGGUGGCGAAGGCGGCCUGCUGGGCAGUAGCUGACGCUCAGGCGCGACAGCGUGGGGAUCAAACAGG